rnacentral:sRNA from 1 species
UGAGCCUUUCGAGAUUGCUACCAUCCUUC